GUCCUGUUGGUUUUAGAAGGCAAUGCAUGAAGAAGUAGGAAAAGAAGCUUUCUCUUUCUCUAAAAGUGGGGUACUGCAGGAAAUGGCCCUCUUUUGCUGAAAGCUAAAAUACAAGGAUCAAGCCAUUAGGAAAAGAGGACUUGCCCUUGAUAAAGCCAUGCAAGAUGUCUUGAAUCACUUCCCUGUCCUCCAUGUGCCUUAUUAGAGCUUCAGGAGGAUCUUCCCAGAAUGUUCCAUGAUCUUCCCAGGCCCAGAGGUGAGGCUGAC